rnacentral:rRNA from 1 species
UACGGAGGAUGCAAGCGUUAUCCGGAAUGAUUGGGCGUAAAGCGUCCGCAGGUGGCCAUGUAAGUCUGCUGUCAAAGCGUCUGGCUCAACCAGAUAAAGGCAGUGGAAACUACAUAGCUAGAGUAAGGUAGGGGUAGAGGGAAUUCCUGGUGUAGCGGUGAAAUGCGUAGAGAUCAGGAAGAACAUCGGUGGCGAAGGCGCUCUGCUGGACCAUAACUGACACUCAGGGACGAAAGCUAGGGGAGCGAAUGGG